rnacentral:rRNA from 1 species
GUGCCAGCGCCGCGGUAAUACCGGCAGCCCGAGUGAUGGCCGAUCUUAUUGGGCCUAAAGCGUCCGUAGCCUGCCGUGCAAGUCCAUUGGGAAAUCCACGUGCCUAACGCGUGGACGUCCGGUGGAAACUGCAUGGCUUGGGACCAGGAGGCUCGACGGGUACGUCCGGGGUAGGAGUGAAAUCCUGUAAUCCUGGACGGACCGCCGAUGGCGAAAGCACGUCGCGAGGACGGAUCCGACAGUGAGGGACGAAAGCCAGGGUCUCGAACCGGAUUAGAAACCCGGGUAGUCC